GACGUAGGGUGCAAGCGUUGUCCGGAAUCACUGGGUGUAAAGGGUGCGCAGGCGGGCGUGUAAGUCAGGGGUGAAAGCCACCGGCCUACCGGUGAACUGCCCUUGAUACUGCACCUCUUGAGUCCCGGAGAGGCUAUCAGAAUUCGUGGUGUAGCGGUGAAAUGCGUAAAUAUCACGAGGAAUACCUGAUGCGUAGGCGGAUAGCUGGACGGGUACUGACGCUCAGGCACGAAAGCGUGGGGAGCGAACAGG
rnacentral:misc_RNA from 1 species